rnacentral:rRNA from 1 species
AUUGAACGCUGGCGGCAGGCCUAACACAUGCAAGUCGAACGAGUGGCGGACGGGUGAGUAAUGUCUGGGAAACUGCCUGAUGGAGGGUGAUAACUACUGGAAACGGUAGCUAAUACCGCAUACCAUCAGAUGUGCCCAGAUGGGAUUAGCUAGUUGGUGGGGUAACGGCGCACCAAGGCGACGAUCCCUAGCUGGUCUGAGAGGGUGACCAGCCACCUUGGAUCGGUGCCACGGGCCAUACUCCUACGGUAGGCAGCAGUGGGGAAUAUUGCACAAUGGGAGGAAGCCUGAUGCAGCCAUGCCGCGUGUAUGAAGAAGGCCUUCGGGUUGUAAAGUACUUUCAGCGGGGAGGCGUUACCCGCAGAAGAAGCACCGGCUAACUCCGUGCCAGCCGCCGCGGUAAUUC